rnacentral:lncRNA from 1 species
CGGGAGCGGUUUGUGAGACGGGGCACUGGGGACACUGCCCACGGUGAAACGAAUCGCAGCGGCCGUGAUUCGCAGCCUCCUGUUCCUGAGGCUGCUCCUCACGGGAAGAUCAUUUCAUGCGAGAGUUUAAGAAUUGGAAGUUGGUUCCAGAAGUGUCUCCAGUGACCUCGCAUCGCCCUAGGCGCGGUAGGAGAGCCAGGGCGAGGGCCCUCGGCGCUGUGCAGCGUUCUGGAAAGUCUUGAAAGCCCUCUAGGGCGACAAAGGUUCGAGGCCCGAGCGCUGUUAUGCAGGUCACUUGACUCAGUCCAGACCGAGAUGCCCCCGCCCCGCAUCGCCGCCGCCAGGUUUUAUUCAGACUUUCGGAUAUAUCGUCAAAGUUCAACAUCAGGGAACAUAUUGGAAAGUCAUAUUUUUUAACUUGAAAUUAUACUUGGACAAGUCUGACAAGAGCAAGAAUUUUUUCACAAGGUGUGAGCAGCCUGAAGUUCCAUCCAAGAAAACAAAAUGAGAUGAAAUCAGCAAGGAUGUGUAACUACAUGCUCGGCUAAAUGCUGGAGACGACACCCAUGCCACAGCCCAGCUCAUCUCAUCCGAGGCUGCCUGCCGGGGGUGGAAGCAGCCCCUUCUUCACAGUAAGGAGAGCUGAGAAAGUAACAUGAACACCUAGAUUCAACAACCAUUGGUUUGCUGAGUGCGAGUUACG